rnacentral:rRNA from 1 species
UACGUAGGGGGCGAGCGUUGUCCGGAUUCAUUGGGCGUAAAGAGCUCGUAGGCGGCUUGGCAAGUCGGGUGUGAAAACUCCAGGCUCAACCUGGAGAUGCCACCCGAUACUGCUAUGGCUUGAGUUCGGUAGGGGACCACGGAAUUCCUGGUGUAGCGGUGAAAUGCGCAGAUAUCAGGAGGAACACCGGUGGCGAAGGCGGUGGUCUGGGCCGACACUGACGCUGAGGAGCGAAAGCGUGGGGAGCAAACAGG